AUAGUAGAAUGGUUUGUCGCUGUGGUUUUUUUAUAGAAAAGCAGAGGAAAGUCCGGGCAACGCAGAGCAACAUACUUUCUAACAGAAAGUCGGUCGUGAGGUCGAAUGAGCGUAACAGAAAAUAACCGCCUCAAAAAGGUAAGGGUGAAAAGGCAGGGUAAGAGCCUACCGAUUGUUUGGCGACAGACAAUGCCGUACGCAUUAUGUGUUGAAAGUUCAAGUAAACCAACGAUAUAGGGUGGCUCGUCCGAGUUGGAGGGUAGAACGAUAGAGGAUGAUAGCAAUAUCAUUCGUAGAUAAAUGGCAGACAGUCCAGCAAUGGAAUACAGAAUCCGGCUUAUAGUUCUACUAUUUUC
rnacentral:RNase_P_RNA from 1 species